CUAAUGUAGUCUGCAGCAGAGCUCUACAGAGGUCUAAUGUAGCCUGCAGCAGAGCUCUACAGAGGUCUAAUGUAGCCUGCAGCAGAGGUCUACAGAGGUCUAAUGUAGCCUGCAGCAGAGCUCUACAGAGGUCUAAUGUAGCCUGCAGCAGAGGUCUACAGAGGUCUAAUGUAGCCUGCAGCAGAGGUCUACAGAGGUCUAAUGUAGCCUGCAGCAGAGGUCUACAGAGGUCUAAUGUAGCCUGCAGCAGAGGUCUACAGAGGUCUAAUGUAGCCUGCAGCAGAGGUCUACAGAGGUCUAAUGUAGCCUGCAGCAGAGGUCUACAGAGGUCUAAUGUAGCCUGCAGCAGAGGUCUACAGAGGUCUAAUGUAGCCUGCAGCAGAGCUCUACAGAGGUCUAAUGUAGUCUGCAGCAGAGGUCUACAGAGGUCUAAUGUAGCCUGCAGCAGAGCUCUACAGAGGUCUAAUGUAGCCUGCAGCAGAGCUCUACAGAGGUCUAAUGUAGCCUGCAGCAGAGGUCUACAGAGGUCUAAUGUAGCCUGCAGCAGAGCUCUACAGAGGUCUAAUGUAGCCUGCAGCAGAGCUCUACAGAGGUCUAAUGUAGCCUGCAGCAGAGGUCUACAGAGGUCUAAUGUAGCCUGCAGCAGAGGUCUACAGAGGUCUAAUGUAGCCCGCAGCAGAGGUCUACAGAGAUCUCACUUCUUUCUCUCCACACCUCCAGAUGUUUUUCAUGUUCAAACUUGUAGUCUUCAACCGAUGCUGACUUACUUGGGGACAUUUAUCAGACUUCACACAGCUUCCUCUGGAGACACCAAAGGCUUUAAACCACUUUUAAACCGUAUGCAGUAAGACUCCACAACACCUGGAAAAUGGAGAAACCUCUCAGAGAGAACAUCUGAAUGGAAGAGUCAAACCUCAGCAUCCCUCAGGUUGGUGUCUCCUCCAAACAGGACGGUGACAUCAUCAGGCGCCUUUGUCAUCCUCUUCAUCACCAGGCGCAGCUGUAUCAUCCUGUUUGCUGCAUUGGGCUUACAGCUCUCAAAGUGAGACGUCAUCAGACAAAGCUUCUGGCCUUUGAACAGCACCUGAUUUUGAAGGAGAGACAUUUUAAUGUCAAUGCACGGGGUAAAGGUGAAAUGAGUUCUUUUCACAGACCUGAGCGACAAGCAGGUUCCUCAUCUGGCGAGAGGUUGAAUAUUCGACUAUCUCGCUGUCCAGCAGUGUGAUCCGUGACUUCUUCAGCAUCAUCCCGAUGAAGUAUCUCUCCUUUCCUCCUGAUCAGGGAGGGUUCUAAGUAAGUUAUAGACAGCACUAAAUUUGAGUGAUAAUAUGUUUACGAAAUGCUAGCUGACGUUCUGUGGGUGCCUUAAUCUUGCUCAGGGCCCUUAAAAGGUUAAAGCCGACCCUGUUCACUUUCUGGCAUGUAGCUACCUUCGAUGAACGUGUAGUUGGCCGCCAGACGUUUCUUCAUGAAGCGCGUGUAUGGUUGGAUGAGCUCCUGAAGAAACACCACGUCAGGAGAGUGUCUGUGGAGAGGAAGUGGAGGAGACAGAACUGUUCAAAAUUGUCCAGCAUGAACCAUUUAAUCCCCGUCAAAAACAAUGUGAUUGAGUUGUAGUUUGUGUGACCUGACCCUUUAAAGUGCAGUCUUACGAGAUUAUGUAGGAGCAGAGGCCUCUCGCUCUCUCUGGCUGUUCCUCUGGAUCAAGUCCAUCCACAUUCCAGGAGAUCAGCGACAGUUUGUUGUUUUCUUUUUCUUCUUUUUCCCGUUGAUUUUCGGU